rnacentral:rRNA from 1 species
UACAGAGGGGGCAAGCGUUAUUCGGAAUUAUUGGGCGUAAAGGGCGCGUAGGCGGCUUUGCAAGUGGCGGGUGAAAUCCCUCGGCUUAACCGAGGAACUGCCUGUCAGACUGGAAGGCUUGAGACCGGGAGAGGUGAGUGGAAUUCCCAGUGUAGCGGUGGAAUGCGUAGAUAUCGGGAGGAACACCUGAGGCGAAGGCGGGCUACUGGGCCGAUACUGACGCUGAUGCGCGAAAGCCAGGGGAGCAAACGGG